rnacentral:tRNA from 1 species
UCCCUGGUGGUUCAGAGGUUAAAGCAUCUGCCUGCAGUGCAGGAGACCUGGGUUCAGUUCCUGGUUCGGGAA